rnacentral:rRNA from 1 species
UACGAAGGGUGCAAGCGUUACUCGGAAUUACUGGGCGUAAAGGGUGCGUAGGUGGUUCUUUAAGUCUGCUGUGAAAGCCCCGGGCUCAACCUGGGAAUGCCGGUGGAUACUGUCGGGCUAGAGUGCGGAAGAGGCGAGUGGAAUUCCUGGUGUAGCGGUGAAAUGCGCAGAUAUCAGGAGGAACACCUAUUGCGAAGGCAGCUCGCUGGGACGUAACUGACGCUGAGACGCGAAAGCGUGGGGAGCAAACAGG